rnacentral:rRNA from 1 species
UACGUAGGUGGCGAGCGUUAUCCGGAAUGAUUGGGCGUAAAGGGUGCGUAGGCGGACUUUUAAGUGAGAUGUGAAAUACUCGGGCUCAACUUGAGUGCUGCAUUUCAAACUGGAAGUCUAGAGUGCAGGAGAGGAGAAUGGAAUUCCUAGUGUAGCGGUGAAAUGCGUAGAGAUUAGGAAGAACACCAGUGGCGAAGGCGAUUCUCUGGACUGUGACUGACGCUGAGGCUCGAAAGCGUGGGGAGCAAACAGG